rnacentral:rRNA from 1 species
CUUAAGGGUUAAGCCCGAUGAACCCGAAUAUCUGAUGUGAGAAAUUCAAUACUGUUCAUUUAAUGGAUUGUAUGCACUUUUCUCAUAGUAAGACAUUGUAAUCCAUUGAUGCUAUAUCUUUUUCAUUUAUGGGAGAGAUGAUUUAACAUACGGACAAGAUGUAUAUGAUUAUUCUAUCAGUGAUGUGUUUACAUGUCAUAUGAAUAAAAUCGUUUUGUACCUGUUUAAAUAGUCGAUGGAUUUUAACUGAAUCAUGCUUGCAAUUUAUUUUGCGUUUCGUUUUAUCGGCCAUUUUGGUUGGUAAUAGCAGAAAUGGCAUGCAUUCGAUUAACAAUGCGAUAGAUUUGGGAUACUUUCAGGACCCGUCUUGA